CAGCCGUCCAGGACCAGGCUUACCCCGGGAGGGCACUCGGGGGGCAAGGAGGAGCACUGGCACUUCGCGCUGCACUCUUGGCCGGCCGCUUCCUGGGGAGACAGAGGGAGGCAGAGACGGGGAGGUCAAAUAACGCUCCAGGAGGUGGGCCCGAACUUCUUAGAAGCACUGAUGAUGCUACAUAAUGAAACAUCUGCAAGAGAACAACCAGGUUCAGAGAGCACCAAGGACUCUUCACUUCUUACAAGAUUUAGCCAGGCCCAGAUGAAACCAUCUUGAUGGAUGAGUCUAUACAUGCUAUUCAUUCACUGGUCCUUCAAGAUAUGCUAAGCAAGAAGAAGCAAGAAUUAGAGAAGAGAUAUUAACAAAAGUUUAACAACUAAUUAAGGAGAUCAUGCACCAGCAUUAAAUAAAAUGUAUUCAAAUUUUUAGGGAUAAAGCAAUUUUCCUCUUAGAAAAGUGGAGUUAUCAAAAAACAAACAGAGAAAUGUCCUUGUUUUGGAGCCGCUGGCAGAAAAGUCCAUAUAUGGGGAUGGGACUAUUCUGAAUUUCCCACAAAGCUUCAUCAGAUAGGACUUCAGAUCAUAGUGCGCUGUUUUCAUAGAACUGCACAGGCUAUUCAUUGUUACAUAUUUUAACAAGAAUUCUGAUGGAAGAGUCUGCUAGAGUCAUUACGCAAAAUAACAUAAAAGAAACCUCAAAGAAUAGUUAAAAUUAUUAGACUGCUUGUUCAUUACAGAUCAGGUUAUUUUUCCAUGGUUGCUUCCCAGCAUGGGGUGUUUGGUCAUCAGCCCUUUUCAAGUUCUAAAAAUGGCACAAGAGGCCUCUUAACUAUCAGGCUGCCCUGUACGUUUGGCACCAAAUUCAGACGACUUGGAGAAGUUUAUCUUAAGUUGCCUGCUUUUGCUCUUCAACUUUAUAUACCUUUCCAUAAGAAAGCAGGCCUAUUUUUAGCUGUUGGCUGCUGAAAUGGAAUCCAGUGAUGGGAUUUUCAAAGUUCUUUCUCCUUCCCUUAAGUCAAAAGGCUGGGAUGCGCUUGAUUGAUGGGGAAUAUAUUAAAACUUUCCUCUCUCUUUUAUUCAAAAAGAUGACUUGAACACACCUGGAAAUGGUCUUCCCCUUUUGUGAAAUCCAGCUGGUACUUGGUUACUGGUUUUUAGGCCCUUGGUGUUUUUUGUCUUAAAUUAUUAUAUGGCCAAUUGGUGUAAUUUGGACUACUUAUUUCCUAUAGAAGAAAAAAAAUAUUUUCCUGAAGCAUUGCGGUAAUUAAAACCAGCACUUGAUUUAGAUAGAUUCUUGGGCUAAGGCAAAUGGAGGCACAUACUGUAGUCAAGGCAGUGUUGUGGCUCCGUUACCUGAGCCUGUGUCAUCGGCAGGAGAGGACUCCGAGAGUGAAGGAGAGGAGUUGGCAAGGCCUCUCUCUCCAGGACCCUCCUCUUUGGCAAUGCCUUCGGUGUUCGCCGAAGGGCAAGAGAUAGGGCCGGGGCCAAGCAUGUCCACACAGCCACAGGUGGACAGUGAUGAGAGUAAUGAGUCUUGGCUGGAUCCUCGACAGCGUCGCAGAGAUAAGCGCGCAUAACAGAAGAAAAUGCGUGCCAGAGAUUAGGCUGACUCACUGGACCACACCCCACAGGGUAUAAAAGGGAGCGUGGUGGCCAGUCAAGCCUUGUGACGAACAAAGCUGAAAGCUUCCAUGCCAUUCUGCAUUGCCGGACUUUUGCUAUAGACUUUGCUGGAUUAUAUUUGGACUUGAUUUACACUGUAAUUAUUGAACAUUUUACUUUGAUGUACCAGAAGCAGAGAGAUGUUAUCUCUUCGUGAGUAAUAAACUCUUGGCAGGCAGCCACUAGGUUGUUGCCAAGUUCCGUUAUCAUAAGGAAAAGGAUUUUGUCGGCUGGUUUGGUUUUUAACUCUUGGACGUCUGUUGGUGUGUGUGCG